rnacentral:rRNA from 1 species
UACGUAGGGGGCUAGCGUUGUCCGGAAUCAUUGGGCGUAAAGAGCGUGUAGGCGGUUCGGUAAGUCCGCUGUGAAAGUCCAGGGCUCAACCCUGGAAGGCCGGUGGAAACUGUCGGGCUAGAGUCCGGAAGAGGCGAGUGGAAUUCCCGGUGUAGCGGUGAAAUGCGCAGAUAUCGGGAGGAACACCAAUGGCGAAGGCAGCUCGCUGGGACGGUACUGACGCUGAGACGCGAAAGCGUGGGGAGCAAACAGG